UACGGAGGGUGCGAGCGUUGUUCGGAAUCAUUGGGCGUGAAGCGCGUGUAGGCGGCCAGGCAAGUCGGUUGUGAAAGCCCGGGGCUCAACCCCGGAACUGCGUCCGAAACUGCUUGGCUAGAGUCCCGGAGAGGAAGGCAGAAUUCCCGGUGUAGGGGUGAAAUCCGUAGAUAUCGGGAGGAAUACCGGUGGCGAAGGCGGCCUUCUGGACGGUGACUGACGCUGAGACGCGAAAGCGUGGGGAGCAAACAGG
rnacentral:misc_RNA from 1 species